UCAAAUAUUAAUUUUUCACUUUUGCUUAUUUUAAUACAAUAUUUUUUUUGUUUUUUACACAUGGGAUCGAUUAGUCGUUACCUUAACACAGGAAUUACAAUGCAACAUUCCCUCCAGAAAACUGGGUUAGUCUUUAAUUUCAAAUUUUAGGCGCCUCACCUCCCCCUAUCGCUGUGCAGCUUAGUCUGCUUCUGUUUGCUGAUUGGACCAACAAGAGCGCACAGUCUGCCCUCCUCCUGCUGGAACUUUCCAUACGUGACUGACAGCCACAACAGAAGAGACCUGCGUGCGGUGCAGCUAUUGGGCCUUUCCUGAAGGACUAUAGUUGUGAUCUGCUGCUGCCCGACUUGGAUGAAAAGGAAGAUGCAAUGUUUUGCCAUGUGGAUGACGUGUGCCUUCCAGAAGAAGUACCGGGCAUUCGUGCCUUUCUACAAGAAAGUUCAUGCUAAGUCUGGAUCGAAACCUUGUGCAGGCCAGCAAUGCUUCCCACAUUUCUCUGCUAUGCAUGAUCCUCGCAAACUACUAGAGCUUCAACAUCCACUAUCCAUCCACCGGAGCUGGCAUCAACUUUGGAGUUUUUACAGAGAUGCUUUUUCUCCAUCAACCAAGAGAGAGACAGACCAGAGUGGACAAGAAGGGCAAAUCUCAUCUCAUCUUGAACCCAAGAGUCUUAACCUUGAUUCAGGAACGGUCAGAUUUUGAGUGGAGAGGCAUGUAAACACUGUUAGCAACAUUGCAAGCAUAGUUUUAAGGUUUCUUUGCUCUUUGUUAAUCUCUUGCAAACAAGUGAUUACAUAGUUUUCUGUUUUAUGUGCAAUGUUUUUUAAAAAUGUCUUAUUAUCUACAAAUGAUAAACAUUUGCUGUGUUUAGAGGCGAAAGGUUGAGUAAAAUAAAUGAAUGUAAAGACGUCUUUGUAUUGAAGUGAUUCUUCGGUUUGAAUUUUGCUACACAGCAGAUAUUUUGAAACUGGGUUACAUUUUCAGUACAUUUUGUUUCUUUUUAGGUCUUAGCAAAGCAAAUGAGCAAAUGUUAUAGACCUCAACAAAAAACUAAAACGUGCAAAUAUUUUUUAUCAGGAUUGUUGAGCAAUGCUUUGAAUUCAUCAGUAAGAUUAGGAAACACCUAAGUUCAAAUUUCUAAAUUACAUUUUAUAUUCUCUAUUUGUAAAAAGUAUCUUGGUUUCAAAACAGUAAUUAAACACAAGAGUAUGUUGCUGUGAUUGCAUUUCUAAGAACAACAUGAAAAAAAAAGAAAAAUGUUGUUAUUUUUACGAAAAUAAAUUGGCAGCAGUGGUUGCCAGAGUAAAAAUGUAGAAAAUACGGUAAAAAUGUAAACAACUUUACAGAACAUUGUAUAAAUUUAACGUCAUAAUCUUAUAAAUACAACAACAUAUCCUAGACUGUGAAACAUCAGGUUGCUGUAGAUAAGACAU